UACGUAGGGACCGAGCGUUGUCCGGAUUCAUUGGGCGUAAAGAGCUCGUAGGCGGCCACUCAAGUCGAAUGUGAAACCUCGAGGCUUAACCUCGAGCCUGCAUUCGAUACUGGGUGGCUAGAGUCUGGUAGGGGGAUCUGGAAUUCCUGGUGUAGCGGUGGAAUGCGCAGAUAUCGGGAGGAACACCUGAGGCGAAGGCGGGCUACUGGGCCGAUACUGACGCUGAGGCGCGAAAGCCAGGGGAGCAAACGGG
rnacentral:rRNA from 1 species